GACGAACGCUGGCGGCGUGCUUAACACAUGCAAGUCGAACGGUGAAGCGCCUUCCUUUUUGGUGGGUGUGGAUGAGUGGCGAACGGGUGAGUAACACGUGAGUAACCUGCCCCCUUCUUCUGGAUAACCGCAUGAAAGUGUGGCUAAUACGGGAUAUUCUGGGUCUGUCGCAUGAUGGGUCUGGGAAAGAUAUUGUUUCGGUGGGGGAUGGGCUCGCGGCCUAUCAGCUUGUUGGUGGGGUGAUGGCCUACCAAGGCGGUGACGGGUAGCCGGCCUGAGAGGGUGGACGGUCACACUGGGGCUGCGACGCGGACCAGACUCCUACGGGAGGCAGCAGUGGGGAAUAUUGCACAAUGGGCGCAAGCCUGAUGCAGCGCCGCCGCGUGAGGGAUGGAGGCCUUCGGGUUGUGAACCUCUUUCGCCAGUGAAGCAGGCCUGCCUCGUUUGUGGGUGGGUUGACGGUAGCUGGAUAAGAAGCGCCGGCUAACUACGUG
rnacentral:rRNA from 1 species